AUGCUCGACAGUUGUUCGCAGAGCACAAUAAUCUCUCUGCGAAACUGGGCCUCUCGGAGGCUGCAAGGGUCGUCGUCGGACCACAAGAGCAACCCGGAACAACUGCCGUCCCGACAGAUGCUGAUAAGGAAGCCUUGUGCCCUUGCUUUCCCUCAUGCGAUUGUUGAUGUUCAAUUGAAACCAUCAUGUGCCAUGUGCUACAAUAAUCACGCCAUGAGCAAGUCUGUGUGUGUCGCGGCGUCCGCGCCGCGCCGACUCUGUGCCAGAGUCAGUUCGUGUCGCAUCGUUUUAAGUCGGAUCAAGUUGUUGAUCGAGUCUAGUUUUGUUGCAGGAUGUGUGCAAGACCGUUGCGCACUGGCUGCCACGUUGAUUGAGUCAGGAAAUAGCUAUGAUAGGGUCACCGAUCCACACGGAGACACCAACGUCCUUGCUUCUCUUUAUUUUUCUGCAGUAUUGGUGCUAUGUUAUCUUCAUCCAACUAUAAAUAAAAAUAAUAUUUAA
rnacentral:rRNA from 1 species